UACGUAGGCAGCAAGCGUUGUUCGGAAUUACUGGGCGUAAAGAGUGUGUAGGUGGUGCUCCAAGUCUGUUGUGAAAUCUCCCGGCUUAACUGGGAGGGUGCGGCGGAAACUGGAGUGCUUGAGGGUGGGAGAGGUAAGCGGAAUUCCUGGUGUAGCGGUGAAAUGCGUAGAUAUCAGGAGGAACACCUGUGGUGUAGACAGCUUACUGGACCACUUCUGACACUGAGACACGAAAGCGUGGGUAGCAAACAGG
rnacentral:rRNA from 1 species